rnacentral:rRNA from 1 species
UGAUGCAGCGACGCCGCGUGAGGGAUGACGGCCUUCGGGUUGUAAACCUCUUUCAGCAGGGACGAAGCGAAAGUGACGGUACCUGCAGAAGAAGCACCGGCCAACUACGUGCCAGCAGCCGCGGUAAUACGUAGGGUGCAAGCGUUGUCCGGAAUUACUGGGCGUAAAGAGCUCGUAGGCGGUUUGUCGCGUCGUCUGUGAAAACUCGAGGCUCAACCUCGAGCUUGCAGGCGAUACGGGCAGACUUGAGUACUGCAGGGGAGACUGGAAUUCCUGGUGUAGCGGUGAAAUGCGCAGAUAUCAGGAGGAACACCGGUGGCGAAGGCGGGUCUCUGGGCAGUAACUGACGCUGAGGAGCGAAAGCGUGGGUAGCGAACAGGAUUAGAUACCCUGGUAGUCCACGCCGUAAACGGUGGGCGCUAGGUGUGGGUUUCCUUCCACGGGAUCCGUGCCGUAGCU